rnacentral:rRNA from 1 species
GUGGGGAAUAUUGGACAAUGGGGGGAACCCUGAUCCAGCCAUGCCGCGUGUGUGAAGAAGGCCUUUUGGUUGUAAAGCACUUUAAGCGAGGAGGAGGCUACCGAGAUUAAUACUCUUGGAUAGUGGACGUUACUCGCAGAAUAAGCACCGGCUAACUCUGUGCCAGCAGCCGCGGUAAUACAGAGGGUGCAAGCGUUAAUCGGAUUUACUGGGCGUAAAGCGCGCGUAGGUGGCCAAUUAAGUCAAAUGUGAAAUCCCCGAGCUUAACUUGGGAAUUGCAUUCGAUACUGAUUGGCUAGAGUAUGGGAGAGGAUGGUAGAAUUCCAGGUGUAGCGGUGAAAUGCGUAGAGAUCUGGAGGAAUACCGAUGGCGAAGGCAGCCAUCUGGCCUAAUACUGACACUGAGGUGCGAAAGCAUGGGGAGCAAACAGGAUUAGAUACCCGGGUAGUCC